GGAGGCAUCGCAUAGUGGCCAAUUGCACAAGAUUGCUAAUCUUGACCGAAUUUUCGGUUCGUGGGUUCGAAUCCCACUGCCUCCGCAA
rnacentral:tRNA from 4 species